CCUCCCCUUCCUCUUCCUCUCCCCUUGCGCAGCCGUCAGCGUCCCCCGCUCCGCCUGCGGGCCGGGGUCUCUGGGGGGACGGGACGGGACCCGGUAAGAAGGGAGAUGAUGUUAGAGGAGAGGAGUGUUCCAGCGGAAAGGCCAACUGCCACUUCCAGAACGGCAUUCCAGAGCGGAGCUGGACAGGAACAGACCGGGCACUCAGUUGGAAAGCCGCCUUGCAUCAUCCUGUGCUGAUUCCUGUCUACCUCUCAGCCAUCUCCGGGCUCUGGAAAUUCUCUUCUUCCAUCUGCAUUCAUCACCCACCAGCACUGGCACACUGGUAAGGAAUAGCCUUACAAGUGUGAGGAAUGUGGUAAAAGGGUUCAAAGCCUCUCAGAUCUCAUGAAACAUCAGUGGACACACUCGGGAAAAUCUCUCCCCAGCCCCCCCUCCUGUCAGGCCACACCAUGAUCUGAGAAAUACUUGUGUAGGCCUUGGCCUUGACAAGCAGCCCCUGGGCUCAGCUCCUCUUGAGUUUAUCACCAACACUGGCUGUUCCAGGGACUGCUGCUGUCCAAGAAUCUCCAACAGCCUUAGAAACUUUUUUUUUUUCCCUGAAUAACAUCCCAAAUGGGAUAAUAUUUUAGUUCUCAACCUUUCCCAGAAAGUCACCGGCCUGAGCUUGGGCCAGGAUGGAAAAUGUCUGUGACUAAAGCCCAUCCCUUGGGCCCUAUAAACAGCAGCCCUGAGUGAGACCCUUGAGUUACAGUACAAGCUGGGCAGUUUCACCCAGUCACAUUCCACCCUAAGCAUCUCACUGGUCAGAGAACUGAGAGGUGUUAGGAUCAGACCAAUGAGCAGUUUAGACUGGGGCAUUUUCAAACGCCCUCUAUAAAGCUGGGUUCAAACAAUAAAGCUCUCUCUAUUAUUGCCACUUGCGACUCCAAAGUGUGUCUCUGUCUCUGACCACCGACUCCACGUUACACCCUUGGAACUCUCCUGGGCUGCAGCAGCUGCGACAGCGACCUCCCUGUGCUGGGGCCUCUGUGAAUCCACUGGAUUCCAGGGGAAUUUCCCUCAGGGACCUUGUACAGACUGCUUCUGUCCAUACGUGUGUGAUGAUGCAUAUGCCGUAGCAAAUGUCCUGGGAGUGCUGCUCUCCUGGAGUCAGAAGUACUUAAAAUAUGUCAGAUUAAAAUAUGUCAGUACUUAAAAUAAGUCAGAUAUGUUCCUGUUGUGGUGUAAUAAAUUCUGUGUGAAGUUACUGAUUAAAUUUCAAUUAAGUUAUGUUAAGUUUAAGUUAAGUGCUAUUUGGCCUUUAAGCAUAAACUGUUGAAAUCCAGGCUCAGUUCUGCACAGGUGUCUACUCUGACCCUUGUGACUCAACAGUGGGGUUUUCCAUAUUCCUCUUUAUCUUUACCCUUUUCUGUUUUUUUUCCCUCACCUGCCCCCUCCGCGAACUCCCAUCCUAGGGGAAGCCCCCAAAACCUGUUUAAUAUCUCCAAAAUUCGUGGAAAGCAGCACAGUCCUCCCCAAAAUGGGCUCUCCAAGGGGCCCCACUCCAAGUGUCAGAACCGUGUUCACCUCUGUGUGAAAAAUGCGUAUUUUAUGAUUGGCUUUUCGCAAAUAUUGAAAUGAAUAUUAUAUGUGUUGUGUUAGAAAGUAACACUGUAUUAAUUCUCUUCAGUAGUGUGUUAAAUAUAGUUUUAGGUUAUAAAAAUUGUUAAAUAGAAACUAUGCUAUGUAGGAUACUUUUUUUUUUUAAAGAAAGGACUUGCAGCGAGAUAGCAGCCACAGGACACCUAAAUCUUUCAGAGAAAAAGAAUUUAUUGCUCCCUUAUCAGAAGAAACAAACUUCUUCCCGCCUCGAAGGCGCUGUUAGGAUUAGGAGGAAGAAGCUGACGAUGACCAGGCCAAAUCCUUUGUUUGAAUGGAAUUUAUGCAUCAUGUAUGAAGUGUAUGAAUAUGCAACAGGCUGUUGUUUUUAAGGGUUAAUCCUUUGUUAACAGGUGUCCUUUUUGGGGCUUGUGCUGCCCAGAAAAGGUACCUGGAUGUCCGUAACUCUUUGUUUUUAUUGUCUCAUUGUGUCUUAAUUCAAAUGGUCUAAAUUAUUAUUACUCUAAUUGUAUUACUAUUUUUAUAACUAUUUUAUUACUAUUAAAUAUUUAAAAAUUUAAAAAACAA